ensembl:snRNA U6 U6 spliceosomal RNA
AUACUCAACUUGGCAGCAUACAUACUGAAAUUGGAAUGAAAUGGAGAAGAUUAACACAGCCCAUGUGCAAGGAUGACAGGCAAAUCUGUGAGGUACUCCAUAUUUUU